rnacentral:rRNA from 1 species
GAUGAACGCUGGCGGCGUGCCUAAUACAUGCAAGUCGAGCGAACGGACGAGAAGCUUGCUUCUCUGAUGUUAGCGGCGGACGGGUGAGUAACACGUGGAUAACCUACCUAUAAGACUGGGAUAACUUCGGGAAACCGGAGCUAAUACCGGAUAAUAUUUUGAACCGCAUGGUUCAAAAGUAAAAGACGGUCUUGCUGUCACUUAUAGAUGGAUCCGCGCUGCAUUAGCUAGUUGGUAAGGUAACGGCUUACCAAGGCAACGAUGCAUAGCCGACCUGAGAGGGUGAUCGGCCACACUGGAACUGAGACAGGGUCCAGACUCCUACGGGAGGCCGCAGUAGGGAAUCUUCCGCAAUGGGCGAAAGCCUGACGGAGCAACGCCGCGUGAGUGAUGAAGGUCUUCGGCUCGUAAAACUCUGUUAUUAGGGAAGAACAUAUGUGUAAGUAACUGUGCACAUCUUGACGGUACCUAAUCAGAAAGCCACGGCUAACUACGUG